rnacentral:rRNA from 1 species
AUGAACGCUGGCGGCGUGCCUAAUACAUGCAAGUCGAGCGAACAGACGAGGAGCUUGCUCCUCUGACGUUAGCGGCGGACGGGUGAGUAACACGUGGAUAACCUACCUAUAAGACUGGGAUAACUUCGGGAAACCGGAGCUAAUACCGGAUAAUAUAUUGAACCGCAUGGUUCAAUAGUGAAAGACGGUUUUGCUGUCACUUAUAGAUGGAUCCGCGCCGCAUUAGCUAGUUGGUAAGGUAACGGCUUACCAAGGCAACGAGGCGUAGCCGACCUGAGAGGGUGAUCGGCCACACUGGAACUGAGACACGUUCCAGACUCCUACGGGAGGCAGCAGUAGGGAAUCUUCCGCAAUGGGCGAAAGCCUGACGGAGCAACGCCGCGUGAGUGAUGAAGGUCUUCGGAUCGUAAAACUCUGUUAUUAGGGAAGAACAAAUGUGUAAGUAACUAUGCACGUCUUGACGGUACCUAAUCAGAAAGCCACGGCUAACUACGUG